GGUUAAGUGACUAAGCGUACACGGUGGAUGCCUAGGCAAUCAGAGGCGAAGAAGGACGUGCUAAUCUGCGAAAAGCUUGGAUGAGUUGAUAAGAAGCGUUUAAUCCAAGAUAUCCGAAUGGGGAAACCCAGUAGAUGAAGAAUCUACUAUCAAUAGAUGAAUACAUAGUCUGUUGAGGCAAACCGGGAGAACUGAAACAUCUAAGUACCCCGAGGAAAAGAAAUCAACCGAGAUUUUGUCAGUAGCGGCGAGCGAAAGCGAAAGAGCCAGCAAGUGAUAGCAGCAAAGACAGAAGAAUUGGCUGGGAAGCCAAGCGACACAGGGUGAUAGCCCCGUAUUCGAAGUUUUUGUUGUGGUACUAAGCUUGCAACAAGUAGGGCGGGACACGAGAAAUCCUGUUUGAAGAUGGGGGGACCAUCCUCCAAGGCUAAAUACUCCUGAUUGACCGAUAGUGAACCAGUACUGUGAAGGAAAGGCGAAAAGAACCCCA
rnacentral:rRNA from 1 species